rnacentral:rRNA from 1 species
AGUGAACGCUGGCGGUAGGCCUAACACAUGCAAGUCGAACGGCAGCACAGUAAGAGCUUGCUCUUACGGGUGGCGAGUGGCGGACGGGUGAGGAAUACAUCGGACUCUACUUUUUCGUGGGGGAUAACGUCGGGAAACUUACGCUAAUACCGCAUACGACCUACGGGUGAAAGCAGGGGAUAUUCGGACCUUGCGCGAUUGAAUGAGCCGAUGUCGGAUUAGCUAGUUGGCGGGGUAAAGGCCCACCAAGGCGACGAUCCGUAGCUGGUCUGAGAGGAUGAUCAGCCACACUGGAACUGAGACACGGUCCAGACUCCUACGGGAGGCAGCAGUGGGGAAUAUUGGACAAUGGGCGCAAGCCUGAUCCAGCCAUACCGCGUGGGUGAAGAAGGCCUUCGGGUUGUAAAGCCCUUUUGUUGGGAAAGAAAAGCAGCAGGUUAAUACCCCGCUGUUCUGACGGUACCCAAAGAAUAAGCACCGGCUAACUUCGUG